AUGGAGUACGCGGCGGCGGGCGCCGGGGGGUACUACUACUACCCGCCCGCGCAGCAGCCGCAGCCGCCCCCGCAGACGCUCCGCCGCCGCCCGCGCCCCGCCGCCCGCUGGGUCAAGCAGUGGAUCCCGCAGGAUCUCGCCUCCCCCGGCUCCAAGUGCGCCCUCUUCAAGUGGGUCAGAGAGGACGUGUACAAGAAUCUGAAGGAGAACGGCGGCGCGGGGCAGGAGCCCGAGGCGCAGCCACGCAAGGUCGAGCCGGCCACGGAGAUCCUCUUCCUCUGCAGCUACGACAACUGCGGCAAGACCUUUGUCGACGUGGCUGCCUUGAGGAAGCAUGCCCACGUGCACGGCGAGAGGCAGUAUGUUUGCCAGGAGCCCGGCUGUGGGAAGAAAUUUGUAGAUAGCUCAAAGUUGAAGAGGCACCACCUUACUCACACCGGACAAAAGGAUUUCGUUUGCCCACAUCCAGGCUGUGGUAAGGCCUUCUCAUUGGAUUUUAACUUGCGUGCACACCUCAAAACACAUGCUGUGGAAAAUUAUCAUAUAUGCCCCUUCCCAGCAUGUGGCAAAAGAUUUACAAGCGACUUCAAAUUAAAAUGCCAUAUUAAGACACAUGAAAAGACUGGAUCUCCUAUUGCAGUGCAGCAUACACCGCCAGCAGAAAAACCACAAAGCACCAUAAAGCCUUCCAUACAAGCAACCCCAAAGCCUUCUGCGCCCACACCACCAAGCUUUUCCAGUGAGCGCCCUUAUGUCUGCCCCUACGAAGGCUGUGGGAAAGCCUACAUCCACGGUUACAAACUCAACCUCCAUCUCAAGACUCAGCACCCUGACCACAAUCAAGGAGACAAUGGUAGGUCCGCCACACCUGCAGCGGGGUAUAACUAUGCUGACGGCGGUGACAUCGCGCCAAACCCGAAAAGGAGCAAGACAAACCAAGGGCACAGGGCCCCUCCAUCUAACGCCUACAAUGUCAAGGUUUCCAGCAGGAUGGCUGUUGAUACCAGUGGUGCAAAGAACCAGUGGCCAGGCAAGGGUAUGUAUGACGAUGAUAGUGAAGAGACCGAGGAAGACCCUGGUGGUAACAACAUAGAAGAUGGCUGGAGGUAUGGUAACCAGAACGCCGAUUAUGAGGAAACAGAAGAAGAUGAAGACUAG
rnacentral:rRNA from 1 species